UAGCUCCAAGUGGACCAAACCUCAAUGUGAAACCUGAAAUGCUAAAACUGCUAGAAAAAAAAAAAAACACAGGCAGCACCCUAUAAGAUAUCAGUGUAAAAAAGGACUUUGUGAAUAGGACUCCAUCUGCCCAGGAAUUAAAGCUGAGUUAGCUACUGGUACCUAAUGAACUAAAAACACUUCUGUAUAGCUAUCAACUGAGUGAAGAAGAAACCUACAGAAUGGGAGUUCUACACUAGCAACACAGAGACUGAGUGGUCCCAAUGCUGCUUCCAUCUGCCUUCCUCUUCUAUAGCACCAAUCCACUUGUAAGAACCCACAUGGUUAUACUGGGGGCACACAGACUCUUGCCUGGUGCUUGGCUGUGGAUCUCUGCACGUGCUUCCAUCAGUUA